rnacentral:rRNA from 1 species
GACGAACGCUGGCGGCGUGCUUAACACAUGCAAGUCACGGGGGCCCGCAAGGGUAACCGGCGAACGGGUGCGUAACACGUGAACAAUCUGCCUAGAUGUGGGGGAUAGCCGGCCCAACGGCCGGGUAAUACCGCAUACGCUCUUCGGGUGGCAUCACUUGAAGAGGAAACCUCCGGGGCAUCUAGAGGAGUUCGCGGCCUAUCAGCUAGUUGGUGGGGUAACGGCCUACCAAGGCAAUGACGGGUAGCUGGUCUGAGAGGAUGGCCAGCCACAUUGGGACUGAGAUACGGCCCAGACUCCUACGGGAGGCAGCAGUGGGGAAUAUUGCGCAAUGGCCGAAAGGCUGACGCAGCGACGCCGCGUGGGGGAUGAAGCAUUUCGGUGUGUAAACCCCUGUUGCUCGGGACGAACAAGCGAUUUCGAUCGCUCUGACGGUACCGGGUGAGGAAGCACCGGUUAACUCCGUGCCAGCCGCCGCCGUAAGAC